rnacentral:tRNA from 1 species
UCCCAUGUGGCUCAGUUGGUAGAGCAUGGUGUUUGCAACGCCAGGGUUGUGGGUUCGAUUCCUACGUGGGAC